CCGGACGAGGACUCGUCCGUCUGGCAGUCGGGUGAAAGCACUAGAGACGGGGUUCUUCUAUUGUGAAUAGUUUCAAACGAAACAGCGUCAAUGGUGCUUCUUGUAAGGCUUUCCUCGUCUAGUUCGGUAUCUGGCAUGAUAUUUUCAGGAUCUACGUAUUCGGAUUCACUGUGAACGGACGACUUCGUACAUAUUUCAGUAUUUUCAGGACCUACAUAUUCGGAUUCACAGUAAAGAGUGCUGUUAUUUGCAUCCUUUGACACCUGAACAAGGAUUUUCUCCAAUUUUUGGGUUUCAUCUAAAAUAAAUGGCAAACAGCAGUGAUUUCUCAGGGUUUUUUUUGCAAGUGCUGCGGUUUAGGAGGUAUGACUGGUAAAUUUGGUUUUUUAGGAAUUUCUGAGUUUUAUAUGAAUUAAUUGUAGUAAAGAGUGACUAAAAAAUAAUUGUUGAGUAUAAUACUUGGUUUCCCAGAACAUAAAGUUCUGAGUGUAGGAGAUGCAGCUGUAGGAAUCUGUACAAAUUCAAGAUAGGAAGCUACUUUUUUUUGUCUCACGUGUGCUGUUACUAUAGCACUUUUUCUGCUACUCUCAGAUCCCAAUUCAUUUAGCAAUGCUAUUAUUUUAGAGCGCUUUAUUAUUGGUAUUUCCCAACUUGCCAAUGUUUGAUUAUUUAAAUUAAGGAAGGCUUCUCCAUCAAUCGAAUUUGCUGCCAAUGCAAAUCCACACCCAUGUAUUCCAUUCUGUUAAGAGUUGAAUAAGUGUAAUUUGAUGACACUACUCUAUAGCCUUUUUAAAAAAUUUCACAAACCUCAGUCAGAUAUUUCUCCACUUCUGCUUGGUCCCAUGAAACUAUUUUGUAUAUCAAAUCUGGAUCACUGACUUUUCUUUGAGGUGUAUUGAAACUCUUGACAGCCAUUGAAUCCAACAGGGAAAACACUUGCUCUACUAAUGAGAAUUAGAUGUUGGAAGACGGCUUUAUAGAAAUAACAAAUUUGCUCCACAGGAUGUAUGUUACCACGUUAUCGAUAAAGUUGGUUGCUUAAAAUGCGGUUUCACCGGAUUUCACUCAUUUGACAUGGGUGUGGAUUGGAGCGGUGAGUCACAAGAAGGUCGAUGAUCCUGUUUUCUUACGCCUUUCUCUUCCAUCAUGAUCACGACAUGCUAAAGUAGUUUUUUUUUUAUCUUGUCUAUGCAAAUUUCAAUCAGUGCUUGUUAUUGUGCGAAAUGUCAUAGGAAGUGAUGAAGGUGCAGGCUAAAGAACAACCGGAAAAUCCAAACGCGGGAAUUUUCAAAUGUUGAAAAGGAAAUCGUAACUCCUUUUUCAUAAGCACCAUGUUUUAAAUGAAAAUAAAAAAGAAACGCAAAAAUGAAGUCGAUUACAUGUAUUCAAAAAAAUGUUUGGGUUUCGGUAGAGAGUAAAAUGACCUUUUUUGUUGCUUUAAAUAAAUGAAUAUUUUUUUUUCUUUUUUUUUUUUUGCAAUCCAGAAGCGACUAGGACACAGACAAGGGAAAAUCCAAAAGUAAGUCACAACAGUUGGGUGUGUGUUAUUAUAGAAAUGAAGAACAUUAGAUGGAGGAAAAGUGAAAUGCCAAAAUGCUAUUUUUAGUAGACGUUAUAGGCAAUUUUAAAUACGAAAAAAGAGUGACGUCCCUCGAAAUAGAAGAAAACCAGACACAUCUCGUCCAUUCUGCGAUGAAUGGUUUUUCGUUCAACAAUAUAUUUUUGUUUUAUAUUUUACUUCCUUUUUGGGAGCACCUGCUGCCUGUUUUCCUUUGUGAUGUUUAGAAAGCUGCCCACUUAAAAAGAUUGUUUACAAGACAUGGAUAUUGGAAACAGCUUGAUUGCUCUUGAAAUACCAAAACCCUAUCAGAAAUUCAAAGCUACCUUCGUUAUACACGUGAUCCAAGUAUUCAGGCAAUAAUAUUAUGGUCAAGAAAAACUUGUUGUCGGGGAUUAUUCCGUUCAGAGGGAAAAGAAAGAAGAGAAGAGAAAGAAACAAUAAUUUGAUAGCUCUAUAGCAAAAUAUAAUUGAAUCUACUUUUUUUUUUUUCUUGUAGGGAAAUUGAUGCUGAUCCAGUUUCCCCUCUCUCUCAAAAAAUAAUAGAAAUAAACAGCGCUACUAUUUCGGAGAGUUGCUGCGAUUUUUAUCCUUCCCAUUUUUAGUGCCCAUUAAAAAAUAGUUGCUAAUCAUUUCCCUUUCUUUCUUUUACCAACAAAAAUAAAAAAAUAAAUAAAAUAAGAUGUAAAAAAAAAAAAAAUGCUUCAAGGCCGUCCGGA